CUCACUGGUGCUUUUACUUUCUCAGUAGAACUUCAGCUUGGGUUUUGCCAAUUUUCUUCCAUCAAAAAAAAUAAAAAAAAAUUAGCUUUAGUUGUGUCACUUUGCAUUAGUAGACUUUUAACCCCUCAGCUGAUCUAGUGCUUGGGCAAAGCACUGCACCAGCUGCUGAGAAGUUGGCCGAUGAACAGGAGGGGGCACAGCCUAGAAAGAGGAAAGCAUGAGGAAAUAGGUAGCUAAAGAAGCUACCUUGAAAGAAGGGGGUGAUGAUGAAGGGGAGAAAGGGAAGAAGAAGAAAAAGAAGUCCGAUAUAGAGAGCACCUGAUUGCAAAAUGAUGAUCAGAAUGCUCCAGCUGUGGCAGAAGAAGAGCAGGAGAAAAAGUUAAAGAAGUAAAAGAAAGAUGAAGCUCCAAGCCCUAAUGAGUUAGAGAAUCAAGAUCAGCCUGUCAUGCCAAGCAGAAGUGGAGCUCGGCACAAAAGAAAAGAAGAAAAAGAAGAGAGAGCAAACUGAAGCAGAGGAUGAGGACAGCAACAACACAAAGGACCAAGAAGAAGCAGAAACAAGAAAGAAGAAAAAGAAAAAGAAGAAGAAAGACGAAGGCUGAGUAAUGGCAUGUAUGGGAGAGAAUAAUGAGUUCUGCUUGGUGCAGGUGAAUGGAAUCUGCAAGUUUGAAUUAGUUCAUUUAGGUUUCAACACAGAGAGAUCUGUAAAAAAUUACCUAUUGUUGUUAUGGUGCUACGGAUCCAUGACGUUUCUGUUUUUCCUUUGAAUUAUUUAUCUGUCCGGCUAUGAUGAUAUGCAAGAACAGCUCCCUUCGAUGUUGAUGCUAAGUUAGAUCUGAAGAAAGCAUAUAUUUCCAUCCAUAAAUUUUAGGAGGAAGUUAAGAAAAUUUAAGUGUUUUAAUUGUCCCAAACUGCUAAUCUUUUUGGAACACCAUAAUUGAAAAGUGAGUUUAUAAGAAAUCCAUCAGGCAUCUUGUUAAGAGCUGAAACUUGUUAAGUUUAUGGUAAUUUAUAUGGCAUGAGAAUGCAGGGCUAAAGAAUAAAUGUUGCCUGAACAGUUGCUUAUCUCAUCUGCAACGGGGAAAACAAAUGGAUAAGCAAAGAAAGUAAUACCUGGAGGCCUAUGAGGCUCCUGUCAUCCAAGAGAACCUUGAUAUGAAAUUUUCUACUCUUUCUCUACCAAAAAUUUUCUAUGGUGCCUCGGUACUGAAUCAUCAUCACAUCUUUAAAGGAGCAUAGGGAUAAUAUUCUUAUUGAAAAAUGAAAAAGUACAGCGAAAUUUGUGGAACACGAAUCUUGCACUAAAAAGGAUAAAAAAAAGAGAUCCCAGUGAUUCUCCCAGCCAGAGUUGCAGAAGAUGUGCCUCCAAUUCCUCAGCAGUGCUUUGGAUAGACGCAGAUCACCUUACGCCGGCGAGGUGUGCAGCAGAUUAACAGCAGCACCAAAGCAAUGACAAGCGCCAGGAGUAGUCCCGUAAAAUUCAUCCCACCAUUUUCCUCUGACUCAGUGCAGCAAAUCUUCCCCAUGACACAGAGCGAGCGAGCGAGCGAGCGAGCGAGCGAGAGAGAGAGAGAGAGAUUCUAGGAAAGUUGGUAAGGACUUUUUGAUGCUGGUGGAGAGAGGUUUUU
rnacentral:lncRNA from 1 species